UUUAGGCUUAGGCUUAGGCUUAGGCUUAUGCUUAGGCGUAGGCUUAGGCUGAGGCUUAGGUUUAAGUUUAGACUUAGGCUUAGGCUUAGGCUAAGGCGUAGGCUUUGGCAUUGGCUUAGGCUUUGGCUUUGGCUUAGGCGUAGGCUGAGGCUCAGGUUUAAGUUUAGAUUUAGGCUUAGGCUUAGGCUAAGGCGUAGGCUUAGGCUAAGGCGUAGGCUUUGGCUUUGGCU
ensembl:ncRNA Y60A3A.35 ncRNA